GCGCUUUUCCGCAGCUGUUGCGCUUCAGCAUGGAGACCAUCUCUGGCGCAGCCCUGCAGAAGAUAAAACACACCCGAAGGGAACUGACACCGGUUCUCACAUAACAACCACAGUUCUCCUCACUUCUUGUCUUCUAUGAGGCGCCCCAGCCGCAGACAAGCCUGCAGGCCCAGCGUGAUCUCUGUCAGCAUGUCGGCCAUCUUCUUCUGCAUCAGCUGAUUGCGCGCCAGGGGCACACCGAACUGGAUCCUGGGGGAAACAGGCCUUUUACUACCCGAGCACCACCAAUUCAGUGAUCUCGAAUGCCUGCCGCGCGAGUUCGGAGACAAGGACGUGAGAUUUCGAGGCAGCUUUGCUGCGG